rnacentral:rRNA from 1 species
GACGAACGCUGGCGGCGUGCUUAACACAUGCAAGUCGAACGGUGAAGGGACCGGUUUUUGCUGGUUCUGGAUGAGUGGCGAACGGGUGAGUAACACGUGAGUAACCUGCCCCCUUCUUCUGGAUAACCGCAUGAAAGUGUGGCUAAUACGGGAUAUUCUGCGCCUGCUGCAUGGGGGGUGUGGGAAAGAUAUUGUUUCGGUGGGGGAUGGGCUCGCGGCCUAUCAGCUUGUUGGUGGGGUGAUGGCCUACCAAGGCGGUGACGGGUAGCCGGCCUGAGAGGGUGGACGGUCACACUGGGACUGAGACACGGCCCAGACUCCUACGGGAGGCAGCAGUGGGGAAUAUUGCACAAUGGGCGCAAGCAUGAUGCAGCGACGCCGCGUGAGGGAUGGAGGCCUUCGGGUUGUAAACCUCUUUCGCCAGUGAAGCAGGCCUGUCCCUUUUGUGGGUGGGUUGACGGUAGCUGGAUAAGAAGCGCCAGCUAACUACGUG